UCCGGUUUAUCACCGGCAGUCUCCCUAGAGUUCCCGACCGAAUCGCUGGCAACUAAGGAUAGGGGUUGCGCUCGUUGCGGGACUUAACCCAACAUUUCACAACACGAGCUGACGACAGCCAUGCAGCACCUGUCUUACGGUUCCCGAAGGCACAACCGCAUCUCUGCAGUCUUCCGUAGAUGUCAAGAGUAGGUAAGGUUCUUCGCGUUGCGUCGAAUUAAACCACAUGCUCCACCGCUUGUGCGGGCCCCCGUCAAUUCAUUUGAGUUUUAAUCUUGCGACCGUACUCCCCAGGCGGUCUACUUAGUGCGUUAGCUGCGCUACUCACAUCACAAGGACACGAACAGCUAGUAGACAUCGUUUACGGCGUGGACUAC
rnacentral:misc_RNA from 1 species